rnacentral:rRNA from 1 species
AUUGAACGCUGGCGGCAUGCCUUACACAUGCAAGUCGAACGGCAGCACGGGGCAACCUGGUGGCGAGUGGCGAACGGGUGAGUAAUGCAUCGGAACGUACCUUUCAGUGGGGGAUAACGUAGCGAAAGUUACGCUAGUACCGCAUAUUCUGUGAGCAGGAAAGCAGGGGAUCGCAAGACCUUGCGCUGAUUGAGCGGCCGAUGUCAGAUUAGCUAGUUGGUGAGGUAAAGGCUCACCAAGGCGACGAUCUGUAGCGGGUCUGAGAGGAUGAUCCGCCACACAGGAACUGAGACACGGUCCAGACUCCUACGGGAGGCAGCAGUGGGGAAUUUUGGAAAAUGGGGGCAACCCUGAUCCAGCCAUGCCGCGUGAGUGAAGAAGGCCUUCGGGUUGUAAAGCUCUUUCGGCCGGGAAGAAAUCGCACGGGCUAAUACCCUGUGUGGAUGACGGUACCGGAAUAAGAAGCACCGGCUAACUACGUGCCAGCAGCCGCCGUAACAC